rnacentral:antisense_RNA from 1 species
UUUGAUCGACCCCAGCCACAGCGGCCGGUCCGCCGGCCGGUCCUGCCCGUACGUCGCUAGAAGCGCUUGCGCCUC